GCGGGGAUGCCGGAGCGGUCAAACGGACUUGGCUUAGGACCAAGUGCUUAGUGCUACACAGGUUCGAUCCCUGUUCCCCGCA
rnacentral:tRNA from 1 species